rnacentral:rRNA from 1 species
CGGGGGGACUACACAUGCAGUCGAGCGGUAGCACAGAAGAGCUUGCUCUCGGGUGACGAGCGGCGGACGGGUGAGUAAUGUCUGGGAAACUGCCUGAUGGAGGGGGAUAACUACUGGAAACGGUAGCUAAUACCGCAUAACGUCGCAAGACCAAAGUGGGGGACCUUCGGGCCUCAUGCCAUCAGAUGUGCCCAGAUGGGAUUAGCUGGUAGGUGGGGUAACGGCUCACCUAGGCGACGAUCCCUAGCUGGUCUGAGAGGAUGACCAGCCACACUGGAACUGAGACACGGUCCAGACUCCUACGGGAGGCAGCAGUGGGGAAUAUUGCACAAUGGGCGCAAGCCUGAUGCAGCCAUGCCGCGUGUGUGAAGAAGGCCUUCGGGUUGUAAAGCACUUUCAGCGGGGAGGAAGGCCGAUGAGGUUAAUAACCUCAUCGAUUGACGUUACCCGCAGAAAGAAGCACCGGCUAACUCCGUGCCAGCAGCCGCGGUAAUACGGAGGGUGCAAGCGUUAAUCGGAAUUACUGGGCGUAAAGCGCACGCAGGCGGUCUGUCAAGUCGGAUGUGAAAUCCCCGGGCUCAACCUGGGAACUGCAUUCGAAACUGGCAGGCUAGAGUCUUGUAGAGGGGGGUAGAAUUCCAGGUGUAGCGGUGAAAUGCGUAGAGAUCUGGAGGAAUACCGGUGGCGAAGGCGGCCCCCUGGACAAAGACUGACGCUCAGGUGCGAAAGCGUGGGGAGCAAACAGGAUUAGAUACCCUGGUAGUCCACGCUGUAAACGAUGUCGAUUUGGAGGUUGUGCCCUUGAGGCGUGGCUUCCGGAGCUAACGCGUUAAAUCGACCGCCUGGGGAGUACGGCCGCAAGGUUAAAACUCAAAUGAAUUGACGGGGGCCCGCACAAGCGGUGGAGCAUGUGGUUUAAUUCGAUGCAACGCGAAGAACCUUACCUGGUCUUGACAUCCACAGAACUUUCCAGAGAUGGAUUGGUGCCUUCGGGAACUGUGAGACAGGUGCUGCAUGGCUGUCGUCAGCUCGUGUUGUGAAAUGUUGGGUUAAGUCCCGCAACGAGCGCAACCCUUAUCCUUUGUUGCCAGCGGUUAGGCCGGGAACUCAAAGGAGACUGCCAGUGAUAAACUGGAGGAAGGUGGGGAUGACGUCAAGUCAUCAUGGCCCUUACGACCAGGGCUACACACGUGCUACAAUGGCAUAUACAAAGAGAAGCGACCUCGCGAGAGCAAGCGGACCUCAUAAAGUAUGUCGUAGUCCGGAUUGGAGUCUGCAACUCGACUCCAUGAAGUCGGAAUCGCUAGUAAUCGUAGAUCAGAAUGCUACGGUGAAUACGUUCCCGGGCCUUGUACACACCGCCCGUCACACCAUGGGAGUGGGUUGCAAAAGAAGUAGGUAGCUUAACCUUCGGGA